UACAGGGGGGCAAGCGUUGUUCGGAAUACUGGGCGUAAAGGGUCUGUAGGUGGCCAACUAAGUCAGGACGUGAAAUCCCUCAGCUUAACUGGGGAACUGCGUCUGAUACUGGAUGGCUUGAGUGUGGGAGAGGAAUGGCGGAAUUCCAGGUGUAGCGGUGAAAUGCGUAGAUAUCUGGAGAACACCGGUGGCGAAGGCGAGUCCCUGGAAAACACCUGACACUGAGGCACGAAAGCGUGGGUAGCAAACAGGG
rnacentral:rRNA from 1 species